GAUGAACGCUGGCGGCGUGCCUAAUACAUGCAAGUCGAGCGAACGGACGAGAAGCUUGCUUCUCUGAUGUUAGCGGCGGACGGGUGAGUAACACGUGGAUAACCUACCUAUAAGACUGGGAUAACUUCGGGAAACCGGAGCUAAUACCGGAUAAUAUUUUGAACCGCAUGGUUCAAAAGUGAAAGACGGUCUUGCUGUCACUUAUAGAUGGAUCCGCGCUGCAUUAGCUAGUUGGUAAGGUAACGGCUUACCAAGGCAACGAUGCAUAGCCGACCUGAGAGGGUGAUCGGCCACACUGGAACUGAGACACGGUCCAGACUCCUACGGGAGGCAGCAGUAGGGAAUCUUCCGCAAUGGGCGAAAGCCUGACGGAGCAACGCCGCGUGAGUGAUGAAGGUCUUCGGAUCGUAAAACUCUGUUAUUAGGGAAGAACAUAUGUGUAAGUAACUGUGCACAUCUUGACGGUACCUAAUCAGAAAGCCACGGCUAACUACGUGCCAGCAGCCGCGGUAAUACGUAGGUGGCAAGCGUUAUCCGGAAUUAUUGGGCGUAAAGCGCGCGUAGGCGGUUUUUUAAGUCUGAUGUGAAAGCCCACGGCUCAACCGUGGAGGGUCAUUGGAAACUGGAAAACUUGAGUGCAGAAGAGGAAAGUGGAAUUCCAUGUGUAGCGGUGAAAUGCGCAGAGGUAUGGAGGAACACCAGUGGCGAAGGCGACUUUCUGGUCUGUAACUGACGCUGAUGUGCGAAAGCGUGGGGAUCAAACAGGAUUAGAUACCCUGGUAGUCCACGCCGUAAACGAUGAGUGCUAAGUGUUAGGGGGUUUCCGCCCCUUAGUGCUGCAGCUAACGCAUUAAGCACUCCGCCUGGGGAGUACGACCGCAAGGUUGAAACUCAAAGGAAUUGACGGGGACCCGCACAAGCGGUGGAGCAUGUGGUUUAAUUCGAAGCAACGCGGAGAACCUUACCAAAUCUUGACAUCCUUUGACAACUCUAGAGAUAGAGCCUUCCCCUUCGGGGGGCAAAGUGACAGGUGGUGCAUGGUUGUCGUCAGCUCGUGUCGUGAGAUGUUGGGUUAAGUCCCGCAACGAGCGCAACCCUUAAGCUUAGUUGCCAUCAUUAAGUUGGGCACUCUAAGUUGACUGCCGGUGACAAACCGGAGGAAGGUGGGGAUGACGUCAAAUCAUCAUGCCCCUUAUGAUUUGGGCUACACACGUGCUACAAUGGACAAUACAAAGGGCAGCGAAACCGCGAGGUCAAGCAAAUCCCAUAAAGUUGUUCUCAGUUCGGAUUGUAGUCUGCAACUCGACUACAUGAAGCUGGAAUCGCUAGUAAUCGUAGAUCAGCAUGCUACGGUGAAUACGUUCCCGGGUCU
rnacentral:rRNA from 1 species